rnacentral:rRNA from 1 species
UGCCAGCAGCCGCGGUAAGACGGAGGGUGCUAGCGUUGUUCGGAAUUACUGGGCGUAAAGGGCGCGCAGGCGGUCUUGUCAGUCAGGUGUGAAAGCCCGGGGCUCAACCCCGGAUGGUCACUUGAAACAGCAAGACUUGAGUACUGGAGAGGAAAGCGGAAUUCCUGGUGUAGAGGUGAAAUUCGUAGAUAUCAGGAGGAACACCAGUGGCGAAGGCGGCUUUCUGGACCGAUACUGACGCUGAGACGCGAAAGCGUGGGGAGCAAACAGGAUUAGAUA